rnacentral:rRNA from 1 species
AUGAGCUGCUUUCAGAUCCCCAUUAUAGUGUGUGACAAAAUGAGAAAGCCCAUAUCCAACUUCUGGUGGGGAUUUGAAAAUGGAAAGAAGAAGCUUCAUUGGAGAUCAUGGGAGUGGUUGUCUGCACCAAAACAUCUUGGUGGUAUGGGCUUCUGCGAUAUGGCGAUCUUUAACCAAGCUAUGCUCGGGAAACAGUGUUGGAGACUUCUGACUGAGCCUAAUUCAUUGUGUGCUCGAGUGUUGAAGGGACGCUACUUCCCUGAUGGGGAUUUCUGGAGUGCGCAAUGCCCAAGAUCAUCUUCUUAUACAUGGCGCAGUAUCAUGCAUGGCAAGAAACUGCUACAACAAGGCCUUCUUUGGAGAGUAGGAGAUGGCAAAAGCAUAAACGUGGUUCAAGACAAUUGGAUCCCAGACUUGCCAUCUAGUAUAAUCUCUACAAUCUCCUCAUUAGAUGAGAAUCAAAUGGUUAAUUCCCUAAUGAAAGAGAAUGAACUAUGCUGGAAUGAGAUUGCUGGGAGGAUUCUUAGUAUCCCAAUAAGCUCCGGUGGCUGUACUGAUUUUCCAUCUUGGCCUCACGCUAAGAGUGGAACAUACUCGGUGAGAUCUGCAUAUAAC